rnacentral:lncRNA from 1 species
CCCUAAAUUUAACUCAUUUUUAUUGCUUGCUUUCUUUUCUUUUAUUGCAGGUGGAAUUGGGUAUUCCCCUGAAAAGAUCACUAAUUUGAACUCAAACCCUGCCCACCUAGGGUACUGAGAAUUAGCAAGAAACAAGGACCCUUGGGUCAGCUUUGGAGGGAGCUGCUGCUGGUGACAAGGACAGUUUCAGACACACACAAAACCAGAAAUGCCUUUGUGGUCUCAGUGGUGGUGUAAGCCAUGAAGUCGUGUUGCAGAUGUGGUGUGUGUUCAGUUUUGCUUUCAUUUUGAAAGUGGCAUAUUGAGCCCAUUUAUCAGCAUAGAGAAAUUUGGGUUGGAAGGGACCCCUGGUGGUCAUCUGGUCCAACCUCCUGCUCAAAGCAUGUUCCACUAGAUCAGGUAAACUUUUCCUUUUAUCUAAUAUGGAUU